rnacentral:rRNA from 1 species
CGCAUCUGUGCAUGCAGCAUAUCAAUAAGCGGAGGAAAAGAAACUAACAAGGAUUCCCCUAGUAACGGCGAGUGAAGCGGGAAGAGCUCAAAUUUGAAAUCUUAAAGGGUUUCCCUUUACGAAUUGUAGUUUAAAGAAGUGUUUUCUGUUGAGGUUUUGGUAAAAGUUCUUUGGAAUAGGACAUCAUAGAGGGUGAGAAUCCCGUAUUUGACCUUUACUUUCAACUUUGUGAUACACUUUCAAAGAGUCGGAUUGUUUGGGAAUGCAGUCCAAAAUGGGUGGUAAAUUUCAUCUAAAGCUAAAUAUUGGCGAGAGACCGAUAGCGAACAAGUACCGUGAGGGAAAGAUGAAAAGAACUUUGAAAAGAGAGUUAAACAGUACGUGAAAUUGUCAAAAGGGAAGCGUUUGACACCAGUGUUGUUUUUCUGAAAAUCAAUUAAAGAACUGUUUAUGCUAAGCUGUUUAGGACUUUAUCAGCUAUCUGUUUAGUUUUGAGCUUUUCUUUAAUGCACUUUUCAGUUAACAAGUCAACAUCAAUUUCUUUUGCUGUAAAAAAGCUUGAGGAAGGUGGCUUGAGAUUCGUCUUAAGUGUUUAUAGCCUCUUGCCUAUGCAGUCGGAGAGAUUGAGGUCUGCAGCGUAGAUCCUUCGGGGCUAAAUGCAUUUGUGCUAAGUUAUAGCAUUUUAUAGACAACUUGUUGACUAUGAUUUGUCUUGUAGCUUACUCGCUUAUGUUAUUUUACCUACGCUUAGGAUGUUGAGUCAUCACACAUCUCU